AUAUACAUCUAAUCCUGCUUGAUUCAGCAUCUUCCAGUCUGUUAUUAGACAGAGAUAAAUGUGAGAGUGCCCAGAAGCAGUAUGCAUAAAGCAGAGAAUGAAGGACAUAGAAGCAGGUACUCAAUUUAAGUGCCAUCAGUGGUGCCAUAUUUAGUAUUUUUGCUUCGUUCAUGCAAAAGAAUAGUGAUAAUUCAUAAAAAUCUUUGAUUGUUUGGUGUAUAACAGAUCCAUGUUAACAAUGUUACUUGUGGUAGCAAAACAGUUUACAUGCAAUAAAGUACCAAUUAGAUUACAAAGUUUAAUUGAAAGGAGGGAGAGAAAUUCUGGGUCAUAAUUAUCUGGUUACACAGAGGUAUUUACUAUGUAAAUAUCUACAUUUCAGCUUAUCGUUUAGAUUUCAUAGGUUAUGCAAACAGGUUUUUCUUGGGCAAAUCCAACUUGUCUAGAUGAAGAAAUUUAAAAUAUAGCAGGUAAACAAUGCUGUAGAGAUGCCUCCUUUUCUAGAAUCAUAGAAUGGUUUGGGUUGGAAGGAACGUUAAAAUCAUCCAGUUCCAAUGCCCUUGCUAUGGGCAGAGGCACCUUCCACUAGACCAUAUUGCUCAAAGCCACAUCCAGCCUGGUCUUGAACACCUCUGGGGUUGGGACAUUCACAACAUCCCUGUUCCAUAUCCCACCAUCCUCACAUUCUAGCAUCUAGUCUAAACCUACCUUCUUUCAGUUUAAAACCGUUCCCCCUUGUCCUGUCACUACCUUGUAAAAGAACCCCCUUCUUCUGUCUUGUAGCCUCUUUAUGUACUUGGAACCUGCUAUAAGGUCUCCCUGUAGUGUUCUCUUCUCAGGCUGAGAACCCCAGCUCUCACAUCCUGUAUUCAUUGAGAAGUGUGUCAGCCCUCUGAUCAUCUUCAUGGCCUCCUGCACCAUGAACUUGCUCCAAAGUCCAUGUCCUUCUCAUGCUGAGGGGCCUCAGAGCUGGAUGUGGUACUCCAGCUGAGGUCUCAGGAAAGUGCCAUAGAGGGGGAGAAUCACUCUCUCUGCCUGCUGUCCAUGAUUCUUUCAGUGCAGACCAGGAUACAGUUGGCUGGGAGUGUACAUUGUCAGAUCAUAUAUACAUAGAUGUUGGAGAUGUCUUUAUAUAUAUAUAUAAACAGAUAUAUACUUUUGUAAGAUAAUUAUGGCCACAUUAUUCAAAGAAGAGUGAUGUGCUCUUAAAAUCAAAUUGGUUUAUUCCAAACUUAUUCAAAUGAAAUAAACAUGGAAACUAGUUUUGAUAGUCCUCAAGGAUCUUCACUUGUCACUUCCCAAUGCAAUGUGUGGUUUUACCAUUUUAUUUUCUUUUUCAUCCCACUGCAAUUAGUGCUAAGUUUAGCAUUAAGGGAGAGAAAAGUCUUCACUCUGACGGGGUUUAAAAGAGUACAAGAGCCAGCUAAAAGCUGGGGCUUAGUGCAUACCCUGUGCUAUGGAAAGCACUUGCCUGUGUCUGAAGUGAGGUGCAUGAGGGAGUGCACUGGAUCCCUUUUCAGUUCUAAGAAACCACAAUUAACUGAGAAUUUUUUUCAUGGUGCAGUAUCAUGUACUGUACCAGAAGGCAUGUUAAGAGAGUGCCCCUAACCUCUGCCUUAAGAGGUGGUGAACAGUUAAGGGAAAAGGACAGACAUUAAAACUUGCAGAAUUCCCCACUACUCAGCAAACCUUUUCUAACCUGACUUAUGAAAAAGCGACUGACCAUCUAAAUCAUCAAAAGAAUUCCCUUGAUUUCUAACUCAGCAGUUGCAGAACAACUAUUAACUACACCUCUGGGAAACUUCAGGUUUAUUGAUGCAUGCUUGAUGUGAAAUUUAAGUCCAGUUUGUGCUACAUGUCCAGAAUAUUGAAUGACUGAUAUGCUCUGCAAAAAAAUCUUCACGACCAAAGUUUAAUUCUUAGGUGAAGGCUGUUUUGAAAGACAGAGGUUUGCUUUUUGGCAUGAUCAGACAGAAUCAAGAGUAACAUCUUUUCCAUUAGGGGCCUGAAACCAACUCUGAGUAAAAUGCAUUGUUGCACUUUCUCAUACCUUCUUUUGAUGACUGUAAGCAAAAAAUGGAAGAAAGAGUUUGGGAAGAAUGGAAAGUCUUUUUUUUGUAGUGCAGUCUUGGACCCUCAAGUGAUAUGCCAUGAUAUCUAAAUAUUAAAUAAACAGAGAUUCAUAUACAUUAAAAAGAGCUAUAGAUUUUAUGUUUCCUUUGAGUUUCAGGCCAGUGUAAUACUUUGAGAAUUAGGCAUUAUUUUAAUGGCACGGAUUCCUAAGGGAAAGUCAGUCCCUAACCUCUAUUAAAAAGCAUGCUCAUUAAAUGCUCUCCUAUAUUCAGAGAAGGAUGAAUUUAUGGUUUGUGUGCCAUGUGUCAUCCCAACCUCAAGUGCUAACCAAUGUCUAGCACUGGUAAGGUUAUUCUCCCCACCAAAGAUAGGCUUAUACAUUAACAACGUGACAGAAAGGUAACUAUUUAGCAAGACAAAUGAUCCCUCUUUAAUAUGCAUCAUACAGAGGCAAAGCCAAUAAAAAGGACUGAAAAAGAGCAGAUAUCAAACCUAGUAUUUGGAAGAAUGUUAACAAAAAAAUGUCUCUGAUUUCCUCAGUUUUGUAACACUCAUAAACAUGGAGGAGCCUAUGCUCAUACUAAAACAUUAGGAUCUGGGAAGACUAAAAUGUCACGGCCUCCCUCUGAUGAAGCACUAGGAAAAAAAUUGAUAUGAAAAACACACCUGGAUGCCAAAACAGUGACAGUGCUGAUCCACACAUUUUUGGCCUAAAUUGGGAUGUACUAUUUUAGCUACAGAUAUAUUCUCUUAGGACUAUUUCAUGGUUUUUCACUCCCUUCAGAAAAAACAAAGACACAGGGACUCACAGUGGAACAUAUAAACAUCAUAAAGUUCAAUAGCACAGAGCUCUAGCUUUCCUGUAACAGAAAUUGACUAAUCUCUUGCCUAACCUCUCCUUUCUUUGGUUAACUAGCUUAAAAAAGUAUAAGAGAGAAAGAAACAAGUAAUAGACAUUGACUUGUUUCACAGCAGAAGAGAGUACGCAAGCCUGUCACCAUAUUCCUUAUUCCUGAAAAUUCAAUUUGAUGAAAUGCAUCACAUGUUGGCACAAGCAAUAUAUGAACAUUAUCAUUCUUCAGCUCAUACUAAAAUUGGAACAGUUGUGACUGGUGUAUUGGCUUUUUUCUGUCAAUUGAGAAAAUAGGACUUGAGUUGAAACAGAUGACACUGAUGAGUGUUGCUAUGGGCACAUUUGACAAUAAGCAUGUUAUAAUGGCUCCAGUUCUUGAAUGCUGUCAGUAGCAUUUAAAGUUACAGGAGUUUGCUGAUCUAUUGGAGUAGCAAACAAGCAUUUCUGAAUUUUCUCACCAGCAGAGUGAAAAUAAAAACCUUAAGAAUCACUUUUACUGGUAUUUAGAUGACCCCAGGGCCAGUUUUUAAGAUGAUAAUGCAUGGAAAAUAUCAUGUUUAGUGAAAAGCGAAAGCUGUUGUAAUGCAAGAGCUUCAGCACACUGAGCUAAUGAUGUACAGUGAGAGAGGAAAAGAAAAAAGAGAUCACAGUUAGUAUUUUACAGUAUGGGGCAGUGUUUUUCUGUCCAAGUAAUGAACAUAUUUUAUAAGUCUGGCAAAAUCAGGAUAAGGUUGUUCUGGUCAUGUCUGGCUAUUGCAUGUCUCGCAUGAUUAUGAUAAUCUGAAAUUACAUAAUGACAUUUUUUCUGGGGUCUGAGGCUUCAUUGUCAUGAAGUGUUUGAUGUGUUUGAUGUGACCUGUUCACUGUGCACAGGUCAAAAGAAAUGCUGAAAAUCUGCUUAGUAAAGUUGUUGCACGUACCACAUCUUCAAAAAAAAGUUAGUGGGUUUUGGUACUUGGGUUGCAAAUGUGGAAAAAUUAAGUUUCCUCAGGAAAUAUAGAAUUUUCUUCUGUGUGACUGGCCAUUGUUUCAAGAUGUAUCUAUGUGCUAAAACACUAUGUUUUUUAGCUAAUCCUUCGCUGAAGAAAGGUUUUUUAGUGAGUUUCUAAUUAAAUACUAGUUCCCUUGCAGACUCCAAGAAGAGCAACUAUCUUGAGCCAAUGCCAAAAUAGAAAGGAUAUGGAGAUAUCAGAAGGUGUGUUCCUGAGUUGUUUUCUGGUCAUUGUCUCUAUUACUUUAUUGAUGCAUGAACUUUUAAUAUAAAAGCAACAUCAACAGAGAUAAAAAGGUGAUUUUCAGCUGAUGUACAACCACUUGGCAAAAAGGAUCUAUGAAAAAGCAAUAAUUAUUUAAAUUGGAGGUAAUGCUGGAGUGUUUGCGAACAUGACAUCCAUGUUAGUAGAAUAUUUACAAAAGACAAUAAUGCUUUUUUAGUAAAGUACAUCUGCUGACAGGAAGACAGAGCACCUUUCUAUGUUUUAUCAGGUCAUAGCUUCUCAUGUGUCUGUGUUAAUAUAGCAAGUAGAUCAAUGCAAGUAUAUCAAUGCAAGUAGAUCAAUGUACAAAUCAUUGUACAGUUGGGUUUUUUUCCUCUCAAAAAAAGAUGCAAAGUAAUUAGAAUAACAUGUUUUUUGAGCUUUACUGCAAAUUUCUUGUUUGAUAAUGAUAAUGAUGAUUAUUAAAUUAAAUAUAGUAGUUCCCAGAUGUGGUCCCUGAAACUAGAACUCAUGCGCCAGACAUUGCAAAAAAAAAGAAACAUACAACAAAAAGUAAAGGCAGUUUGCAGAAGGAGGCUGUAUGAAACUUCACAUUCUCAACUGGAACUUCAAUUGGACACUUUCUUAUUUUACAUGCCUGGUGACAUCAAAUUAAAGGUGGGCUCAGUAGCAUGUCCUAAGAAAAUCAGUGUCUUGCAGAAUUUCAUUAAAAGUCAAAAAAUGCAUCAGGGUUAUAAAAACUAUACUGUUCUUUAACACUGCAUAAAUCUGGGUGGGUAAAUAGUAUUUUUACCUGGACUACUGAAUGACUCACAAAAAUUCUCAUAAAUUAUAAUUGUAUCAUUGUGUUAAAGUCUGUAUGCUUAUGUUUGAACAGGAAGAUUAGGGUAAAGCAAAUAAUCCCACUCUUGCUAUUUCUAACCUUGUGAGUGCUUGUUUUGUUUAUUUAAUAUCUUCUGUAUAUGUUUGAAAGAAUUCUCUAGAUUUUCAAUGUGCAAAAAUAGAUAUUCCAAUAAACAUCAUCAUAUUAAUAUCACAAUACUCAGGAAUUUUAGGUCCCAAAUAUGGAUCUUCCUUGUUUAUGGAGUGACUGAAAAUGAGAACAGGUUGGUGUGCAGUAGAGAAGGGAGGAUGCACAAUAGAAAACCCUCUAGAAGUUAACUGAUAUAUAUCUAUAUCUAAUCUAUAUCACAUCAAUGUCUAUAUCGAUAUCUAUCUAUAUCUAUCAUCUAUAUCUGUACCAUCUAUAUCUAUAUCUUGAAUGGGGGUUUUCCAGAAACAAGUCAUGUCAGGCUAAUCUGAUUGUUUCUAUUCCAUGCUAACAGACUCAUGUAGAUGAGUAACCCUAGACUUUUGACAGUCUUCAGUGAGAUUCUAAUAAACAACCAAAGAAAACAUUUCCUAGAAGAAACUGUUUAAGGCUGGAGUGAAACUGGUAAGAAAAUUAAAUUUGGUUAGAAAGUGUCAAUUUUUCACUGUCAAAGUGGAGAAGUUAAAGGACAUAGGUAUUCAGUUGCAAAUAGAAAGGAUAAGAGACAGCUGGCUAAAAAAAUGACCCAAGGUGUGGUUGCAUAUGUGGUAUUGAAGUCAGGUUCUUAUGAGUAAUAUCAUGCAAAAGCAUAUAAAUGAAAAUAUAGCUUCUAAAAUAGGUAAAAAUCAAUAAACCCUUAUCUGGAGUACCAUGGCUAUACUCAAGAAAGACUGAGCCUAUUUGAAUUCAGAGAAAAAUAGAAAAUGUGAUUAAGAUCUUAAAAACAUGAUUUACUAAGAUUAACCCAUUUGGCGUGAUUCCUGGAAUCCUCAUAAUCUCUUGCCAUUUUCCUAUUUUUUCUUCAUUUUCCUUACUGGGAUUCCAGUUCUCUUCAUCAUCCACCUUCAGGCAAUUUUCAUCACCUCGAUUUUUUUUCCUUGAGGCUAAUACAGUCUAAAUAAUUUCUCUCCUAUUCUCUCUCUCAGUUCUUGUCUCUUCUGUAUUUGGUUAUUAUAGUCACCCGCAGAUUUUUCCUGAGUAGUUGUAACUAAGCAGAGUUACUGUAAACAGAAGAGAGAGUGAGACGGUCAACACAAGAUGUAGAGACUUAAUCAAAGUAAAAUCUCAGGGCAUGUGAAAUCUCUUGAGGAUUUUUGUAAAUAAAUCACUAUUAGGCAUCUACUAGGGAAUUACCAUGUAAUUGGUAACACAAUUUGUAAAGUUCUUAUAGAAACAAGAAAUAUUCACUCCUCACUUCCACAUUCCCAGUCCCUGCUUACAUGGUAUAUAUUUCUUGCAGAAAAGGGCUUGCCACAUUUUUAAAUGUCAAAGAAAAAAAAAAUUAAAUUCAGCCUGAGGCAGACACCUGGCACAAAAGACUUUGAUUCAAACAAUUUAGCAACUUUAAAAAUAACUGAAAGCAAAGCCAUAUUAUUGAAAGUCUUGAGCAAUCUUAGUGAAAGGCACUUGUUGUCACAAGUUCUACAUAUAACAAUUUUUCCUUAAUGUAGCUAUAUCCUAUCCUUCAACUCUCCACCUGGAGGCUCAUUUCACAGAUAUCUUUGUCAUUCUAAAUAAAGUUCAAUGAUAAGAAUUUUGUGAGAACAGUGGGUGUUUAUAAACAGAAGCUCAGGGAAUAACCUUGAUAAGAGCAUUCUUUUUUCCAUCUCUGAUGUUAUAAGAAUAUUUUUUUACUUCUGCCCCAUUUGAAAAUUUUCUUUUGUAAGUUAAAAAGUCAUUUUUCAAUGAUGACCCACUGCUGGGUCAUCAAAACAACACUAAUGACAAAGUGCCUUUCCAUGGGGAAGAAUAACUAUUCCAGAUAUUAUACAGACAUUAACAUAGUGAAGAAAAUAAGCCUUUUUUUAUCUUCUGUUGAGCAUAAGAGUCUAUGCAGGCACAAUUGAGUGAGACUUUAAAUCUUUAUUACUCUGCUUCUCCUGGUGCUACACAACAGAGAAUCAGUACAGUUGUGGAGUGGUUUGCUUUCUGUGUCUGGGAGCAUAUUCAGAGGGAGCUUUGCACUUUCUGUUCUGAGCAAUGGAAAUAAGACCCCAACACUUCUAGUAGCAUUUCUGUCUUCAGUAAAUGCUGCUAUUUGUCUUUUUAUUUGCUGCUCUGACAAAAAAAAAUGUUGUUUGUUCUGCUAUUCUUGCCUUGCUCUGACAAUUUUAACCUUUAUAACCUGUGCCUUAUAUAGUCCUAAUGACAACAGUAUGUGUAUUCUAUACAGAGAUCAAACUGUAAAAUGUAUUUUUGACAAUUUCUGUAAAAAUGUCAUAUAGAUGUUAGAUAACUUCUGUAAAUCCAUUGCAUUUUUACCAAGGUCAGUGUUUAGUUUCUUGCUAUAACCUCCAAUAAAUUGCAUUAUACCAUCUUCCCUACAUAUUGAUUGUCAUUCCUUCUUUCUUUGUUUUUACUUUACAGUUCAACUCAUGUAAAUAUAUAGUCUUGCAAUGCUAGAGAUAAUUCUGUCUAAUGUGGAAGACAGUUCUAAGUCACACAUGAAUAUGAGGAGUUUUUGACCCUUUAUGGCCUAAGGAUGUCUGCAUCCAUCUCCAACAUCUAUGGGGAGAGGUCAGAAACACAGACUUUUCCCAGGGGUGACAUUCUCACCUUAAGACAAAAGCUGAACUUUAUAGGUUUAGAAUAGCACCCUCAGAAGUGCCUGGGUCCUAUAUCCAAGAGUCAUUCAUGGCGAUACUCUGUAAUCUGAAAUACAAAGACUGGGCUGAGAAUGAUGUAUUAAAAUUGUUCAAACCCUUUAAUGAGGAAGUAACACUAAUGUGUCACUAAUUAGUGACACAUUGGAAGGUUUAAGAAGAUGGUAUUGAGGUGGCAUAAACUCGUCAGCAGGAUCUACAGCUCUUUGCAUUGUCAUACUAUGAAAAAUGGAACCAGGCUCAAUAUUUUACUCAAUAUGCAAGAUACUCAAUGAGAGUAGGGAUAAGAUGUUAAUGGAUAUUCUCUUGACAGUUUUACCCAUAACAUUAUGAAACCACUUGCAAGAAAACCAACGUCUGACUGAAUGUUCUUGAGGGCCUUCUGAGACCAUAGAAUGAGCUACAAAAAAUACAAAAAUCCCAGACCAAAUUUACUUUCUCCAAAAAAAGACACCUUUCUUUAACUUUUUUUGGUGAUUUUUUUUUCUGGUGGUUUUUGUUUGGUUGGUUUGUUUUGUCUGAUUGAGUUGUUUUGGUUUUUUUUUCCUUUUACUGGAUAUUCAUAGCAACAAUCUUACAUAAAGCAGAAACAUUAACCCAAGUUAUACAUUUCUUCACCUGGAAAGAGAAUAAAAAAAUACACAUUUCUUGUGAAUUCUUCCCAUUUUACAAUCCUGAUGGAGGGUUUGUUGUUGUCUGAUGAGUUCUAUAAAGCCUGGGUAAAACUGAAUAUGAACAGAACUUAAUCACCUAGGAAAAUAAGGUUAAAUCCCAUCAACUGCCACUAAUAGCUAGUAAAUAUUGUCAGUAGUUCCUUCGUUGCUCAGAUGUUAAGCAAUUAAUACAGGACUCAUAAGUUAUCUAAAAGUCUCUCCUUCACAGUUUUACUCACAGUAGAACCCUUAGUAUUAUUUGUUCAUUUAUGAUCCCUUUCCCCUUUCCUAUGGAUCAUUUAUAAAAACUACAAAUAAAAGAACUCACAUAAAUGCACAGUGGUUAGCACCUUUGGAUAUUUGAUGCAGGCAACCUUCUAGAAUAUUGAAAUGGAUACUCAAAAUUUAAAACUAAUAAGUGAGGUGCUGAGAAUAGAAUAAUGGUCAAGAUUCUUAUGUCUUCUCCCAUUAUUAACAGUUUCAGCCAAGCUAUAAAGUAUAUGUUUGAGGAACUGAAAGAUGCUUGUAUGGCUGUAUAUUUGUGAAAUACUCUUCCUAAGGGGCAGUGAGACAUUAGUUUGUAAGCUUGUACAAGAAGCUAUUAAUCUUGGACUUAAGUUCAGAACCAUUGUUGUUGAACAACAGCAGGAAAAAAUGGGUUUCUUUAAGACUGCAGUUCUGCAAAUAAAAAAUAUAGGAUUAAUAUCUCAAUAUAUAGCAAGAUUGGUAGGGAUGCAAAGAGACAUCCACAAAAUGGAAGUAAAGAGAGAUAAAAGAACUUUACAAAACUAUACAAGAAAUGGCAUCUCCACACUAAGUAAUUCACAAUAUUCUUUAUCUCCGCAGGGAAGGGGAGAGGGAGAAAACAAGGCUCAGUUAAUCUAUUGCUGACAUUUUGCUUUUCAGAACUAAAAUACUAAGAUUUGGGAACAUGGCAAACUGAUCAUUUUGCUAUAUGUACAGUAUGAGUAUAGUAGACUAUCAAAGGGAUAAAAAUUCUGGCUAAUCAGUAUACACAAUUUUGGACUGUUCAACAACUAUUAUAUGUUAUUUCUAUUUCUAAAGAUACAUAAUUAGCAAAAUUUCAAGUCAGCAACAAUUUUUAAGAUAGUUAUAGCUCUGAAUUAUUCCAUGCUUAGAGUAUUUGCUUUGUUUUUUGGAAAUUAAAUUGCUAUUUCAUGGGUUUUUGCUUGAUUAUUUAUCUUAAGAAAUUUGUCCUUGGUGCAUUGUGCUUUCACAUCAAAUUGAACUCAAGAUACAAGGUUACUCAAUCUUUCUGACAGAAAGAUUUAUGUCCAUACAGAAAAUGCCAAAGUGAAUAUCCAAACUGAAAGUUGCUGCUGAUAGUGAGGAAGGUAAAUUAAUCAUAUUUUUGUAAUGCUGAAAUUAUGGCUUCUUUCUUAAGGGGAUCUUAUUACAAAUAAUCAUCAGCCUCCUCUUUUCAAAAUGCAAACUGACAUUUUUUGGUAGCUAAAUGGUCAAGUCAUAAUCACAAUAUUAUAAACAAACUGAUACAUCAAGAGGAAAGAAACAUUCUAACAAAUCAUACUAAUAUCAGUUAUUAAGGUUCUUAUAAAACUGACCCGUGGAAGAUAAGAAGCAGUUCUCAAAUACUGAAAAGCUGGUGUAAAAAUAAAAAUGCAUAUUUUUAUGAUCUGUGCCAUAGGUCCAUGUUGAAAUAAACAGUUUAUAUUGUUAGCUAGUUUUCUGUCUAGCACUAUAAAAUAUCUAAUUAUCAAAGCCAUAUAAUUAAGUAAAAUCUUAUCAACUGUAAACAUAUCCAGUGUUAAGAACAAAUGACUUGUGAAUUUUAUCUAUGUAUCACAGGAGUAAUAAUUGUACUAUUUUUUUACAAACACCUAUGGCUAAAGGCAUCUUAAAUUUAGCACUAUAAUAAUUUGAGUAAUUAUGUAUUUAGGUAUUGUUGAAGAAUUAGCAGAUUCAUGGUCCUCUAGAUGAGAAACAAUAUGUUUAGGAAAGUGUUGCCUGAAGAGACUGAGUUUGCACCAUGACUAACUGACUUUCUUAACUUGUGGGUUUUAGAUCUGUUAUGGAUGUUGAAACCUAAAUCCUGUGCUAAAACCUUUACCUUUAUGAUGUGUAUUCUGAAUUAAACAAUGAACAAAAACAUUGCCUCUGCUCAUAAUGCUUCAGACCCUGGUGAGAAAGACUCUCUCAAUCUAUCUUAUUUAUGCUUUUGUAUGUUGAAAGGCUGCCACAAGAUUUCUCUUGAGCCUUGUCUUCUCCAGAAUGACCCCAGUUCCCUCAGCUUUUCUUGAUAGAAUGAGUGCUCCAGCCCUCUGAAUGUUUAUGUGGCCCUCUUCUGGACCCAAUCCAGCAGGUCCAUGACUUUUUUGUAUUGAUCUAGUACAUUAAUUAGUGGUCUUUUCAAGAUAAAAGAGCAAAAACCUAUUUGAUGACUCACAAAGAAGUUGUCACCAAAUAUCUGAGAAGGGUACAUUUCAUGCUAUCAUGAAUAUUUUUCAUAAAUAUACAGGCAUAUUCACCUCACUUAUUGCAUCCCAUAGAAUCAAAAUGAUAGUUUCUAACUGUUGAUAUUAAUCUGUCUUUGAAAAAACCCACACCCUUUUGUCUGGCUGCUGCAUGGGUUGCGUUUGUAAAUGUAGCCACUUCAGAAGCAGCAACUUUGGUCAUAACCAAGCCAUUUCUGUCAAAUACUCAGAUUUCCAAGAGCUGUGCAAAUGACCUCAUGUUCAAUAACACACACUUGAGGACUGCUCUCCUAAGACCAUAAAGACCAAGUGUAACACAGUCACCACCUUAAAACCAGAAAGCCUUUAGCAGGAUCUUUAGAACUCAGAUUUAUCUCUUCGAAACAGCAAACUUUCAACUGCUUUGCACAAGUUUCUUAUGUUCAUGGAAGACAAAGGUUUUUAUUUCUUACUCAGCCAUACCAGAGCUACAAGAAGAAAUAACAUGGUAUUUUUAAAUUUUUCAGUAUUUCAAACAGCAUCAUCAUAUUUCAUAAAUUAAAUGCAAUUACGUUCUCAUUCCAUCAAGGUAUUAGGAGGCACAUUCUAAUUUUGUGCUUCUAAAUAAGGAGGCCAAAACCAAGUGCCACACCUAAUGCUCCAUGGGAAUCAUGACAGCUCAGAGAAUGUGAGCCCACACAGUACUUUUGCACCACUUCCUAAAAUGCC